rnacentral:lncRNA from 1 species
GAUGGAUCCUGACAUGGGAGAUGUCACAGAGGAAGAGGGGGAGGCUGUGGAGGUACGGACAGCAGCAGCAGCACAGAGGAGGAGGAGAAGGCGCAGGCAGAGGGCACUAGAGGCGGCCCAGGAUGAGCAGCAACAGGAGUUCAACCGCCGACUCUCCAACAAGGUACUGGAGAAGUGCAAUGAUGAAGAACUAGAGCUGGUUUUCACUGGUGGCAGGGGAAGGUCAUUCAUGGAGAUCAUUAGGUGGGCAAGGAUGAGGGCAGUCAUGGCUCCUCAUCCAGCAACUAGGACCAAGUGGGUCCGUUUCUUUAGCGCUAUGACUGAUAUGUCAAUCUAGCUAUCUAUCUUGCUAUCUAUCUUUCUAUCUGUAAGUCAAUUUGAGAGAGAAUUGUAGUAGUAUUUGUGAGAUUUGGAUGUAAUCUAUCUAUCUAUCUAUGAGAUUUGGAUGUAAACUAUCUAUCUAUCUAUGAGAUUUGGAUGUUUCUAUCUGUAAGGUGUAUAUCAAGUGUUGAAUCCACAUAUAGAUAAAAGUUGCAGAUGAAUUGAAGUUGCAAACAAGUGCAGAAUCCACAUACAGUACCAUAUUACAAAGAGUGCAGUAUCAAGUACUUAGUGAGGCAAUGUUAUUCUAACCAAAUCAAACAGUAUGAAGCACUUGGAGUUCAACAACUUCAGCUAGUUGCCACUUGCAUAAAAGUAAUCUUUCAGCCUAUUUGAUGGCUUCCUGACCCUCUUUGACCCAUCAUGCACAGCACUUGUAGCAGCUCUAUUGGCAGCAGCCUGUCUAGGAGCAAUGAAAGAUCCAGUGCCAGCUCUAUUGGCAGUAGCUGACCUGGUGUUCUUUGCUGGAGAAGACCUUGAUGACUUGGUGUUGUUUGCUGGAGAAGACCUUGAUCCAUUGCCAGGAAUAGUUGUGUUCUUCUUCUUGGCAGGUGCUACUACUGUUGCAGAAGAUGUGUUGGUCCUGCUCUUCUUGAGAGGUGGUGGUGCUGUUGAUGUAGCUGGUGCUGCCCUCUUCCUUGACCUAGAAGCUGUCUGUGUUGACUCAUUUGUUACUGGAGGAGGAGUUGGUGCAGGUGCAGAGGCAGCAGGUACCCUUGGUGGCCUUUGUGCAGUUGCAGCCAAUGAAGAUCCAGCCUCAGAGUAGUUUGUUCCAUUUUCCUACACAACAAUAUUAGUUAGAAGUAUUUUCCUACAA